rnacentral:rRNA from 1 species
GUGCCAGCAGCCGCGGUAAUACGUAGAGGGCAAGCGUUGUCCGGAAUUACUGGGCGUAAAGAGCUCGUAGGCGGUUUGUCGCGUCGUCUGUGAAAUUCUGCAGCUUAACUGCAGGCGUGCAGGCGAUACGGGCAGACUUGAGUACUACAGGGGAGACUGGAAUUCCUGGUGUAGCGGUGAAAUGCGCAGAUAUCAGGAGGAACACCGGUGGCGAAGGCGGGUCUCUGGGUAGUUACUGACGCUGAGGAGCGAAAGCGUGGGGAGCAAACAGGAUUAGAUACCCUGGUAGUCCACGCCGUAAACGGUGGGUACUAGGUGUGGGUUCCAUUUCACGGGAUCCGUGCCGGAGCUAACGCAUUAAGUACCCCGCCUGGGGAGUACGGCCGCAAGGCUAAAACUUAAAUGAAUUGACGG